ensembl:lncRNA
AAGAGGAAGAAGGUGGGUUGCUGGAGCUGGAUGUUCUAAACUUCCUUUCUCCAACUUCUUCCCAAAUGGAAGCUAAAAAUGAUGAUCUCCAGUUGGUAAUUAACGCUAAGAAACAGCAGAAGAAGAGAUUCUCCUGCUGUUUCAAGAGCGAGAGAGGAGGACAAAAUGGUAAAAAAAGUAAAGAAAGAGAAGAGGAAGAAGGUGGGUUGCUGGAGCUGGAUGUUCUAAACUUCCUUUCUCCAACUUCUUAUCAAAAAAUGAAAAAACAAAAUGAAACUCUCCAGAAAGAAAAACUGGAUCUGGAGAUUAAAAAUGAAAAUCUACAGACAGAAAAACUGGAUCUGGAAGCUAAAAAUGAUGAUCUCCAGUUGGUAAGUAACGCUAAGAAACAGCAGAAGAAGAGAUUCUUCUGCUGUUUCAAGAGUGAGAGAGGAGGAGAAAGUGGUAAAAAAAAAGUAAAGAAAGAGAAGAGGAAGAAGGUGGGUUGCUGGAGCUGGAUGUUCUAAACUUCCUUUCUCCAACUUCUUAUCAAAAAAUGAAAAAAAAAAAUGAAAAUCUCCAGAAAGAAAAACUGGAUCCAGAGAUUAAAAAGGAAAAUCUACAGACAGAAAAACUGGAUCUGGAAGCUAAAAAUGAUGAUCUCCAGUUGGUAAGUAAUGCUAAGAAACAGCAGAAGAAGAGAUUCUUCUGCUGUUUCAAGAGUGAGAGAGGAGGAGAAAAUGGUAAAAAAAAAAAGUAAAGAAAGAGAAGAGGAAGAAGGUGGGUUGCUGGAGCUGGAUGUUCCAAACUUCCUUUCUCCAACUUCUUCCCAAAUGGAAGCUAAAAAUGAUGAUCUCUAGUUGGUAAGUAACGCUAAGAAACAGCAGAAGAAGAGAUUCUUCUGCUGUUUGAAGAGCGAGAGAGGAGGACAAAAUGGUAAAAAAAAGUAAAGAAAGAGAAGAGGAAGAAGGUGGGUUGCUGGAGCUGGAGGUUCUAAACUUCCUUUCUCCAACUUCUUACCAAAAAAUGAAAAAAAAAUUCAAAAUCUCCAGAAAGAAAAACUGGAUCUGGAUAUUGAAAAUGAAAAUCUACAGACAGAAAAACUGGAUCUGGAAGCUAAAAAUGAUGAUCUCCAGUUGG